GCAGUAGCCGCGGGAAUACGUAGGUCCCGAGCGUUGUCCGGAUUUAUUGGGCGUAAAGCGAGCGCAGGCGGUUAGAUAAGUCUGAAGUUAAAGGCUGUGGCUUAACCAUAGUACGCUUUGGAAACCGUUUAACUUGAGUGCAAGAGGGGAGAGUGGAAUUCCAUGUGUAGCGGUGAGAUGCGUAGAUAUAUGGAGGGACACCGGUGGCGAAGGCGACUCUCUGGUCUGUAACUGACGCUGAGGAGCGAAAGCGUGGGGAGCGAACAGGAUUAGAUACCCCCGUAGUCCCUGUCUCUUAUACA
rnacentral:rRNA from 1 species